UACGGGAGGCAGCAGUGGGGAAUAUUGCACAAUGGGCGCAAGCCUGAUGCAGCCAUGCCGCGUGUAUGAAGAAGGCCUUCGGGUUGUAAAGUACUUUCAGUCGUGAGGAAGGUGUUAAGGUUAAUAACCUUAGCAAUUGACGUUAGCGACAGAAGAAGCACCGGCUAACUCCGUGCCAGCAGCCGCGGUAAUACGGAGGGUGCGAGCGUUAAUCGGAAUUACUGGGCGUAAAGGGCACGCAGGCGGUUAAUUAAGUUGGAUGUGAAAUCCCCGGGCUUAACCUGGGAAUGGCAUUCAAGACUGGUUAGCUAGAGUCUUGUAGAGGGGGUAGAAUUCCAUGUGUAGCGGUGAAAUGCGUAGAGAUGUGGAGGAAUACCGGGUGGCGAAGGCGGCCCCUGGACAAAGGCUGACGCUCAUGUGCGAAAGCGUGGGGAGCAAACGAGGAUUAGAUA
rnacentral:rRNA from 1 species